rnacentral:rRNA from 1 species
GUCCUGGCCGUAAACGUUGGGCACUAGGUGUUGGAGGCAUCGACCCCUCCAGUGCCGCAGCUAACGCAUUAAGUGCCCCGCCUGGGGAGUACGGCCGCAAGGUUGAAACUCAAAGGAAUUGACGGGGGCCCCGCACAAGCGGUGGAGCAUGUGGUUCAAUUCGACGCAACGCGAAGAACCUUACCCAGACUUGACAUGCACUGGACCGGUGUAGAAAUACACCUUCCCUUCGGGGCCCGUGCACAGAUGCUGCAUGGCUGUCGU